rnacentral:rRNA from 1 species
AUGGCGGCAAAGAAACAUCUUUUUCGCUUUGGGUCUUUCGCGAUAAAGGACGGGUCGGAGAUUCAUUUUUGGGAAGACAUCUGGCUAGGCGGUGCCACUCUCCGAGAACAAUAUCCAGCCUUGUACAACAUUGCUCGCGAUAAGAAUAAUACUAUUGUGCAGGUGCUCAGUUCAUCCCCCCGGAAUAUUUCGUUCAGGCGGGAUUUGACUGGCCCCCGACUUAUGUCAUGGCAUAAUCUUUUGUCCCGUCUGGGUGCGAUUAGCCUGACAAAAGGGCGGGAUGUGUUUUGCUGGAACCUUACUACAUCAGGGUCUUUCACCGUA